GCCUCUCGGAAAACGCCAGAGCAACCCUCUCCUAAAGGGUAGGUCGCAGGUUCGAAUCCUGCCGGGGGCA
rnacentral:tRNA from 3 species